UCCUACGGGAGGCAGCAGUAGGGAAUCUUCCGCAAUGGACGAAAGUCUGACGGAGCAACGCCGCCUGAGUGAUGAAGGUCUUCGGAUCGUAAAGCUCUGUUGUUAGGGAAGAACAAGUGCCGUUCAAAUAGGGCGGCACCUUGACGGUACCUAACCAGAAAGCCACGGCUAACUACGUGCCAGCAGCCGCGGUAAUACGUAGGUGGCAAGCGUUGUCCGGAAUUAUUGGGCGUAAAGGGCUCGCAGGCGGUUUCUUAAGUCUGAUGUGAAAGCCCCCGGCUCAACCGGGGAGGGUCAUUGGAAACUGGGGAACUUGAGUGCAGAAGAGGAGAGUGGAAUUCCACGUGUAGCGGUGAAAUGCGUAGAGAUGUGGAGGAACACCAGUGGCGAAGGCGACUCUCUGGUCUGUAACUGACGCUGAGGAGCGAAAGCGUGGGGAGCGAACAGGAUUAGAUACCCUGGUAGUCCACGCCGUAAACGAUGAGUGCUAAGUGUUAGGGGGUUUCCGCCCCUUAGUGCUGCAGCUAACGCAUUAAGCACUCCGCCUGGGGAGUACGGUCGCAAGACUGAAACUCAAAGGAAUUGACGGGGGCCCGCACAAGCGGUGGAGCAUGUGGUUUAAUUCGAAGCAACGCGAAGAACCUUACCAGGUCUUGACAUCCUCUGACAAUCCUAGAGAUAGGACGUCCCCUUCGGGGGCAGAGUGACAGGUGGUGCAUGGUUGUCGUCAGCUCGUGUCGUGAGAUGUUGGGUUAAGUCCCGCAACGAGCGCAACCCUUGAUCUUAGUUGCCAGCAUUCAGUUGGGCACUCUAAGGUGACUGCCGGUGACAAACCGGAGGAAGGUGGGGAUGACGUCAAAUCAUCAUGCCCCUUAUGACCUGGGCUACACACGUGCUACAAUGGACAGAACAAAGGGCAGCGAAACCGCGAGGUUAAGCCAAUCCCACAAAUCUGUUCUCAGUUCGGAUCGCAGUCUGCAACUCGACUGCGUGAAGCUGGAAUCGCUAGUAAUCGCGGAUCAGCAUGCCGCGGUGAAUACGUUCCCGGGCCUUGUACACACCGCCCGUCACACCACGAGAGUUUGUAACACCCGAAGUCGGUGAGGUAACCUUUAUGAGCCAGCCGCCGAA
rnacentral:rRNA from 1 species